CUAUGCGCCUUGCCACGCCCGCUCAGAAACUUAAAGGAUUGACGGGGCCCGCACAAGCGGAGGAACAUGUGGUUUAAUUCGAUGAUACGCGAGGAACCUUACCUGGGCUUAAAUGGGGAGUGACAGCUGUCGAAAGAUGGUUUUCUUCGGACACUCUUCAAGGUGCUGCAUGGUUGUCGUCAGCUCGUGCCGUGAGGUGUCGGGUUAAGUCCCAUAACGAGCGCAACCCUUACCGUUAGUUACCAUCAGGUUAAGCUGGGGACUCUAGCGGGACUGCCACCGUAAGGUGAGAGGAAGGUGGGGAUGACGUCAAAUCAGCACGGCCCUUAUGUCCAGGGCUACACACGUGUUACAAUGGCCGGUACAAAGGGCAGCUACUUCGCGAGAAGAUGCUAAUCUCGAAAGCCGGUCUCAGUUCGGAUCGAAGUCUGCAACCCGACUCCGUGAAGCUGGAUUCGCUAGUAAUCGCGCAUCAGCCACGGCGCGGUGAAUACGUUCCCGGGCCUU
rnacentral:rRNA from 1 species